rnacentral:rRNA from 1 species
AUUGAACGCUGGCGGCAGGCCUAACACAUGCAAGUCGAACGGUAACAGGAAGCAGCUUGCUGCUUUGCUGACGAGUGGCGGACGGGUGAGUAAUGUCUGGGAAACUGCCCGAUGGAGGGGGAUAACUACUGGAAACGGUAGCUAAUACCGCAUAACGUCGCAAGACCAAAGAGGGGGACCUUAGGGCCUCUUGCCAUCGGCUGUGCCCAGAUGGGAUUCGCUAGUAGGUGGGGUAACGGCUCACCAAGGCAACGAUCCCUAGCUGGUCUGAGAGGAUGACCAGCCACACUGGAACUGAGACACGGUCCAGACUCCUACGGGAGGCAGCAGUGGGGAAUAUUGCACAAUGGGCGCAAGCCUGAUGCAGCCAUGCCGCGUGUAUGAAGAAGGCCUUCGGGUUGUAAAGUACUUUCAGCGGGGAGGAAGGGAGUAAAGUUAAUACCUUGGCUCAUUGACGUUACCCGCAGAAGAAGCACCGGCUAACUCCGUG